rnacentral:misc_RNA from 1 species
GAUGAAGAACGCAGCGAAAUGCGAUAAGUAAUGUGAAUUGCAGAAUUCAGUGAAUCAUCGAAUCUUUGAACGCACAUUGCGCCCGCCAGUAUUCUGGCGGGCAUGCCUGUUCGAGCGUCAUUUCAACCAUCAAGCCCUGCUUGCGUUGGGGUCCUGCGGCUGCCCGCAGGCCCUGAAAACCAGUGGCGGGCUCGCUAGUCACACCGAGCGCAGUAAUACAUCUCGCUUUGGGCGUGCGGCGGGUUCUUGCCGUUAAACACCCCCUUUUUACCAAGGUUGACCUCGGAUCAGGUAGGAAUACCCGCUGAACUUAAGCUUAUCAAUAAGCGGAGGA